rnacentral:lncRNA from 1 species
UUUUUUUUCCCAGCCAUCAAUCAUAAAUAUGGCCUUUAGUUAUAUGAACAGCUUUGUAUAAAUUUAAUGAAAGGAUAGCUGAACUAAGGCAAUUCUAAAUAGACUUUGCACAGGGCUGUUCAGUUUGGCUUUUGGAGUCAUCCUAUUCACUACUCGACCACGGCAGGCGUUGUUGGAAUUACACAAAGACGCACACAAAGAAUUGGUAUGUGGAAAGCAGAGUUAUGGUCACACAAUGAACAGUAUUCAGUGUCACUCCUCUCCUUUGCAUGAUAACGCUUCCAUGGUGCGAUAUGUGUAAAAGUGCUAUAAUCUUUCUGUCUUCUCAGACCGGACUGUAAAACUUUGUUGGAAUCAUGUUAAGCCAGAGAAUACGUAGAUCCAUGUAAAUAGGAACAGCUUCUAAAAUCACAGGAAUUUCACAAAAAUAUCUGUUAGGAUAAACAGUAUAAAAUAUUCUGAUAACGUUGAAAGCAUCUGGCUUGAAAUUUUUGGACUAACCCAUUUUUAACUUUUUUCUUUUGAGAAUUUGAAAAGCCUUUACAAUUUUGUGGCAACAAGGGAACAAAAAAUAAAAGCUUUUAUUUUUCAAUCAAAUUUUCUUAAACAAUUCCAGCUGAGUCUCCUUCUCCUUUCCUUCUCCUCCCACUAAUGGACAUUUUGCAAUAAAUAAUACUGAAAUGCUGCUAUAUUCAAGGCAUAUGGCCACUAUGCAGCGCCUCUUAGUGAAAAUCCAAGAAUUCCUGAACAAAACUGAGGUAAGAGAAAAUUUUUUAGGAAGGCCUACAGGUGGCUGUAAAAUGGGAUCCCCUAACAAUUUGGAACUGCAGCAUAAGUCAUGGGCUAUGUAAGCAGGCAAAACCAUGGCUUUAUAUUUUCUCAUAAGAAGGGAUUCAGGCUAGUGGAUUUGGGCCAGAAAUGGAUAAUAAUUCAACAGUGGCUCUGUUUUCACCUCCCUUUCUUCCAUAUCAUCUCUUUCCUCUUCUCUUUUCCAUACUUCAUAGGGCAAUGAGUAGAGCUGGGCUCACAUCCAAUUUGCGGGAUCCUCAGCACCCUGGAUUUCAUCAGUGGCUUGUGCAGUCACCCAGCAGGAAUUUUAACUUUCUUAGCUCUAUUGUCUCUUCUGGGUUUUAGUGCAUAUCCUGAUUUUGAUUCCCUUCACUCAGAGCACACUCAGUAUUUGUUAGCACAGUAGUACGAUUCAGUUCAGAACUGAGAUGCAGUGUUAUUUUUAAAUGCAAUGUAUGGAGAAAAAAAUCAACAUCUCUAAAAUUGAUUUUCUCUAUGUAUAAAAUAUAUAUAUGCUGUUAAACUCCACAAAAGGAGCAAAAACAUAUCUAAGGAUUCAACCUUGUGAAUGCUUAUGUUAACAUUGAAUGAACAAGUUGAUGGCUUCUUCCUUUAGCAGCAAAACCUAUUCUUACACCUCCUAUUCUCCAGUAUAGUUCCUCAUGCUGUGAACGUUAAAGAAAAAAUUUCACCAGCGAUCAGCAACAGGAAGAUAUCUGGAUUUCA